UCUCUCGUAGCUUAGUGGACAGAGCAUUGGUUCAUUAAGCGAUAGGUUCCAGGUUCUAUUCCCGGCGAGGGCG
rnacentral:tRNA from 1 species